rnacentral:lncRNA from 12 species
GGGUGCUCGACGGCCGGGGCACUUCAUGCUACAGUCGGGAGAAACAUGCCCGGGCUGCUCUGUUCUGUGUUGUUUUUUUUGCAGCCGUUCCUUCGGGAGAGAGCUGAGCCCCCAGAUGCUAAGCAGAGGACGGAUGUGGUUCCAUCUGGUGGACGAGGGCGACUGAGACGCGGUACCGGCUCCUGUGUCGGGGCCCCUGCAGGCCUGGCUCCAGGCCCAGCUCCUCUGCCUGCAAGCUCUGUGAGUGCAAACAGGCUACUGCAUCUAAGACCCAGUUUAAAAAAAAAAGGGCGGGGGGGAUUGUGCUCAAUAAGGAGGGUAUUUGGAGAAUUUCGCGCUCUGCUUCCCAUGGAGCAAACCCUCGGGGUAGCAGCUCCUCCGUCACCAGCUGUGGGAAAAGCAUCAGGGCUGCAGGUGGGACCUCGUCACCUGGCUCCCAAGGUGACCAGGGCAGGUAAGCGGGGGAGGAAUGGGUCUCUGUCCUGAAAGCAGCACAGGCUCAGGGAAGGGACGGCGUGAGGGAAGCGCGGCCUCCGCCUCAAGCCUGGACUUCCUCCUGCCGCGGAUGCAGCCGGGCCACCCUGGCGUGGGCUGCAGACCAGAGCCACUGGCCCGGCCCCGUCUCCCUUCAGCCAGGAGGCACGAAAUGGUCUUUGAAAGUUAAAAAAAAAAAAAAAAAGUUAGUGUGAGCAAAAUUUUUAGACAAAAGCCCAAGGGCAUUUCCUCCCUCUAAAUAUCUUUGGCCUAUUUCCUUUUUCUGUACUUUUUGAUCAUGACUCAAAGCAAGAAGAGAAACUGAAGCUGCCUUGCCCAGCGGCUGGCUUGGGGCGCGGGGCGCGGGGUUCUCCCCUGCCCACCCGGCCUCUCCUCGGCCUCCCCUUGGGCAGCCACUCUGCCCUCCCUGCCCGAGAGAGAGGCCUCGGGAGGAAGGGGCCGUGUCUCACGGAUCCGGAUUCCCUGGAGAGCGCGGCCAGCGUGGCUGCAGGGCUCGGGCCGGUGGCGGUUGCUGAGCUCCCUGCUCUCCCAUGUGAUGGGAAUCUUGAGCCCUCGGAACAUCAGUUUUCCUUUCUGUGAAAUGGGCGGAGGUUGGGGUACGUGCAAAGUAGGGGGCCUACUUCCCAGGCUGCCAGGCGACCUCAGGGGACAGUGGGAGGACACGGGGGAGGGGGGACCCCGGGCGUGUCAGGAAGGCACCCAGGCCAUGGCCUCCUGUCUACCCCUGAUGCCACCUCAGGCCUUCCCCGCCAAGCCUGGCCUCGAGGCUCCUGCCUGCAGCCCUUCCCUGAACCCUUCUCCUCAGCAGCCCAGGCUCUGGCCCCCUUGCUGCGUCUUGGGGGGAAUCCGGGGGGAGAGUGCCUGGGGGUGAGCAAGGCGAGUUUGCAGAAUGGGGGGCGGAGUGUGCGGGCAGGAGGGGUGUGGGUGGGAGAGGGCUCUUCCUUCCUCCUGUGUGGGGACCUGGACGGAUGCACGCCCCACGCCCCGUGCUGCAGCUGGCUGCAGAAAGAGCUCGGCAGCCAGAGCCUUAGAAAGACGCCCCAUGCCCUUGGAAGCUAAGUGGAUGGAACCCCCCCUGCCAGCACUUGGAGUUCCCAGCUAAGUGGCGGGGGCGGCUCACCCCGGGCCAUGGGCUCGAUGCGUCUGAGUCCAGCAGGGCCUGGGAAGGGAGCCGGUGUGCCGCCCUAAGGAGAUUCUAGCAACGCGGAGGCAGGCUCCCUGUUUCCUGCUGCGGAACCUGAGGCCCGGGCACGGGCAGUGCCUUCCCCUGGGUCACAGCUGGGCUGGAGCUGAGGACUGUGCCGCCCCUGUGCCUCCCUGCAGGUGCCCUCCUCGGGGUCCUCAGAGCCCCUGGGGGCUCCCUCCCGCUGAGCAGCAGAAACGUGGUGAGUGGCCACGGCCUAGAAAGGGCCGCAAUGCAUACUGUUUAGUCACUUGCACAAACAGCACAUAAACAGCUCUGCUGGUUUUUAGCAACUCAGGUGCGGUGUUUAUUCCCCACUGGGCCGAGCUCCACAUACCUUUGCGGGUACUUGGUGUAAACAUUUACUGCAUCCCUGUGACCCCAGACAACCUCUGUUUCGACAACGCUUAAGAAAGCAGCCCCGUCCUGGAGCCCAGUGAACUCAGCAAUGAACGGGGAGGGCGGGGGGCUCCCACGAUCCAUGCAGGACGAGGAUGGAUCUUAAAAUAACAAUGAGAAGUAAGGGAGGCCGGACAAAAGAAGUGUGCAUCUGUGGUUCUAUUUACAUGAAACUCCAGAAAAUGCAAGUGAGUCUGUUGCGACAGAGGCAGACCCGUAGUUGUUCAGGGAAGGGAGAGGGCCUCGGAGAUGCAUCACCCAGGGCACGAGGAAACUUUCAGGGAAGAGGGUUAUGUUCACCACCUUGAUUGUCGUGCUGGUUCCAUGGGCACAUAGACAUGUCAGAUUUAUCCAAUUGGAUACUUUAAAUAUGUGUAGUUUAUUGUACGUCAGUUAUGUUGGUGAUGAUGACGACAAUGAUGAUUUAUCAUUUAUGAAUUUUAGCUUUGGGGCCAGUUUACCACGAGAAAACUAUGGCAGAGGACGUCAUGAUACCAUCAUAAGCAAGCACACGCCUACAGAGUGUAAGGUCCGUCCUUUGCCCAUCUGUACCCCUGACCUAUCGGGAACCGUCACCAUCACAAGAAGCCCACUUGAGAGCCUACAAAACCUCAGACCCCUUUCUCUGAGGCCCUCCCCCUGCUCCGCACAUGUACACAGACAGGCUAGGCUCCUGUAGCCAUGUCCUACUAUGCGAUCCGUCUCUCGUGGUCACAGUUUGGGGGACCUGGGUUGGAAAUCUGUUUCACAUCGGAAUAAAUGGACCACACGACACA